GUGAAUCAUCGAAUUUUUGAGCGCAAAUUGCACUCUCCUCGGAGAGUAUGCCUGUUUGAGGGUCAGCCUAUAAAAAAUCGACAUCGUUGCUGUUUCGCGGUGGCGUUCGUCGGAAAUUGGGUCAUCUUAAAUCCUUUUGAUUUAAGCGACUUAAAAUUUUCUUUUGGUUCCAUGAACGUUUCUAAGAUCUAUUUCUUUACACGUUUAAGGUAUCGAUUUUUCUAAGAGUUAACCUCAAUUCCGAUUCGCGCCA
rnacentral:misc_RNA from 1 species